rnacentral:rRNA from 1 species
AUACGUAGGGUGCAAGCGUUAAUCGGAAUUACUGGGCGUAAAGCGUGCGCAGGCGGUUUUGUAAGACAGUGGUGAAAUCCCCGGGCUCAACCUGGGAACUGCCUUUGUUACUGCAAGGCUAGAGUACGGCAGAGGGGGAUGGAAUUCCGCGUGUAGCAGUGAAAUGCGUAGAUAUGGGGAGGAACACCGAUGGCGAAGGCAAUCCCCUGGGCCUGUACUGACGCUCAUGCACGAAAGCGUGGGGAGCAAACAGGAUUAGAUACCCUGGUAGUCCACGCCCUAAACGAUGUCAACUGGUUGUUGGGUCUUCAUUGACUCAGUAACGAAGCUAACGCGUGAAGUUGACCGCCUGG